rnacentral:rRNA from 1 species
UACAGAGGAUGCAAGCGUUAUCCGGAAUGAUUGGGCGUAAAGCGUCUGUAGGUGGCUUUUAAGUCCGCCGUCAAAUCCCAGGGCUCAACUCUGGACAGGCGGUGGAAACUACCAAGCUGGAGUACGGUAGGGGCAGAGGAAUUUCCGGUGGAGCGGUGAAAUGCGUAGAGUAUCGAGAGGAACACCUGCGGCGAAGGCGGGUUGCUGGGCUGACACUGACGCUGAUGCGCGAAGCCAGGGAGCGAACGGG